GGUGGUCAAACACAAAGGUGUCAGGUGAAACUCACUCCAGGUGUGUGGUGGACAGGUAGAGCAUGACAGGAACACUCAACAACACACACCGCAGGUACAACCAGACUGAAUGGGGCAAGAUGUGUGAAAACACCACCUUCCGUUCUUUUUCUAUGAGAACAGCCUCUGUGAAGCUGGACUGUCUCAUUUUGGAAGGAGGAACAGGUGCCCAGCCACUUAAAUGGGAUGCAGCACCAAAUUUGAGACUGGAGAAAAAAUGGGCCAAGCUUGCUCAAAUGCUGAGGGGAGAACAUGUUAAUUGACUCCUUAGCUGCUGAGAAACAACCUCCCCCAUUCCAAGGCUUUUGGAGAACACGUAGAAGCCUGAUACUGGUAUUGACCAGCGGACAUCACCGAGAAUUCACCACCUUUACUAAAAGAAAGGAUCUUCUUCCUGCUGUCCAUAUCAUUUCUCCACAUGCCCUGUAUGAUGCAUCACACCGUAGCAUUUGCAUUUAGAUCACCACUCUUUCUUGCAUUGCUCGUUGUGUUUCGGCAUCCGAGUCGAUACUGCGGUGGACUCCUAAGGAGAAUGGAUGGAGGUGGUAAUGAAGGCGAACCACCAACACAAACAUGCUGCUUGGCGGUUCCUCUGCCCGGCGCCGUGCAGCACCUGGAGUCGUUAGUUUUAAUUAGCGGAGGGGAGUGAUAGGAGCUCCUCUCUCCUCCCACCCACUCAUCCCCUCUGGGGGAGAACAGCCGAAUACUGAGGCUCCUGCAUACUGCUACAUAUUUUGUAUUUUCUUUUAUUAUUUUAUUUAAUUGAUAUAACAGAUCCAAAAUGGCUUGUUGUACCACAACUUUUUACUCUUGCAUUAAUUCAAAAGAGAUUGUUUGUUUGAAUGGAAAAAAAAAAAACCUUUA